rnacentral:misc_RNA from 1 species
UUUCAUUUGACGCUUUCAACAACCCGUCUGACAGAUUGGGGAUUUGUAUAAUGACCACCAGUCUUUGCAUAAUGCAGGGCCCCGUCAAAUGAAACAGGAAGUUUGAUUGUGGGAUCGCGAGACAGUAAAACCAUCUGCUCCUGGAUUCCUAGUAAGAUUUGCGCAGCCUCACAGUCCAUCAGACAUUGGGCAUUCUUAGGAAGUUCCUUCUCAACUUUCAGUUCAAGUGAUUGAGAUUUAGCCGAAGGAGCCUUCUCACCAUUCGAAAUCUUGUCUCCUUUACCACCCUUGCUCAAAAUACCUUUAGCAGCUGUGGAAUAAAACUUCCCAUCAGAUUUUGGUAAAAAAUCAAACUUGCCAUCUUCAGAAUUGAACUGAACUUUCCUUCCCCUCUUUGACUUUGCAGAGCUGUCAUCCUUCCCUUUCAUUGAUGCAUCCUUAGCAGGUGUGGACUUGAGAGAAGAUUUAAGCCCUUUACUGGGAAUUGAGUACCCUUUUCCUCCCUUCUCCAUUUUCACCCGAUAAUACUAGUGCUUCUGCAACUCAAAUACAAAGAUUCAAGCAAUCGAUACGACAAUGUACAUAAUCAACCAUCAGAUGACAAACCCUAUUGGGCACAGAGAAAA